rnacentral:lncRNA from 1 species
GAAGUUGUUGAUGAGGUCAAGGAAGCCUUAGAGAAGGCCUGUCCUGGAAUAGUCUCUUGUGCAGAUAUCAUAAUCAUGGCCGCAAGAGAUGCCGUUGCUCUGGUAACUAUCGUUAGCUUUGUCCUGUUUGAGCUAACUUUGUUAAAAAAGUUUCAAAGUGAGGCCGUACUUUGCGAUUAAGAGAGUUUCCAUUUUGUGUAAUAUACCAAAAAGUGAUGUGAUUCUUACUGUGUUUAUAAUCCAGACUGGAGGACCCGAUUGGGUAGUGAGGCUGGGAAGAAAAGAUAGCUUAACAGCCAGUCAAGAAGACUCAAACAAUAUAAUGCCAAGCCCAAGAGCAAAUGCAAGUUUUC